AUGGGACUCAUAGCACAAGAGUCAUCUGGAAUAAAAAUUUUGACUCAGUCUCCAACAUCAAAGUCUGUUCAGGCUGGAGAAACUGUCUCUAUCAGAUGCACAGCCAGUGAGGGUGUUGGAACUUGUCUGAACUGGUACUCCCAGAAACCUGGAGAAGCUCCUAAACUCCUGAUCUACUAUGCAACAACUCGUCAGUCUGGUGUUCCAGAUCGUUUCAGUGGGAGUGGGUCUGGUACACAGUUCACUCUGACCGUCAGCAGAAUCCAGCCUGAAGAUGCUUCAGAUUAUUACUGUCAGCAGUGCAAUGAAUUUCCAUUCACACAGUGUUAG